rnacentral:misc_RNA from 1 species
GAUGAAGAACGCAGCGAAAUGCGAUACGUAGUGUGAAUUGCAGAAUUCAGUGAAUCAUCGAAUCUUUGAACGCACAUUGCACCUCUCGGUAUUCCGGGAGGUAUGCCUGUUCGAGCGUCAUUUGUACCCUCAAGCUCUGCUUGGUGUUGGGUGUUUGUUCCGCCUCUGUGUGUGAACUCGCCUCAAAACAAUUGGCAGCCGGCGUACUUGUUUCGGAGCGCAGCACAUCUUGCGAUCCAGAUCAACGUACAGCGGCAUCCAAGAAGCCUUAUUUAACGCUCUUGACCUCGGAUCAGGUAGGGAUACCCGCUGAACUUAAGCAUAUCAAUAAGCGGAGGA